GUGCUGCCUUCAGCAGCACAUAUGCUAAAAUUGGACCAAUACAGAGAUGAAUAGCAUGGCCCUUGCACAAGGAUGAUGAUAAUAAGUACGGUAUUAAGCGUUUAA